CCCUUAGAUGUUCUGGGCUGCACGCGCGCUACACUGAAGCUAUCAACACGUUUUCCCUCCCUGAGAAGGGCGGGUAACCUUUUGAAUCAGCUUCGUGGUAGGAAUCGGGGCUUGCAAUUGUUCCCCGUGAACCAGGAAUUCCUAGUAGACGCGAGUCAUAAGCUCGCAUCGAUUAAGUCCCUGCCCUUUGUACACACCGCCCGUCGCUACUACCGAUUGAACGUUUUAGUGAGGCAUUUGGACCGACGCAUCUCAGUUUAACCGCUGGUUUGUGUUGGAAAGACUUCCAAACUUGAGCGUUUAGAGGAAGUAAAAGUCGUAACA
rnacentral:rRNA from 1 species